rnacentral:rRNA from 1 species
UUAAAUGAAUUGACGGGACCCGCACAAGCGGUGGAUGAUGUGGUUUAAUUCGAUGCAACGCGAAAACCUUACCCGCCUUUGACAUGUACGGAAUCCUUAGAGAUAGAGGAGUGCUCGAAAGAGAACCGUAACACAGGUGCUGCAUGGCUGUCGUCAGCUCGUGUCGUGAGAUGUUGGGUUAAGUCCCGCAACGAGCGCAACCCUUGUCAUUAGUUGCUACAUUCAGUUGGGCACUCUAAUGAGACUGCCGGUGACAAACCGGAGGAAGGUGGGGAUGACGUCAAGUCCUCAUGGCCCUUAUAGGUGGGGCUACACACGUCAUACAAUGGCCGGUACAGAGGGUAGCCAACCCGCGAGGGGGAGCCAAUCCCACAAAGCCGGUCGUAGUCCGGAUCGCAGUCUGCAACUCGACUGCGUGAAGUCGGAAUCGCUAGUAAUCGCGGAUCAGCAUGUCGCGGUGAAUACGUUCCCGGGUCUU